UACGGGGGGGGCAAGCGUUGUUCGGAAUUACUGGGCGUAAGGGCUCGUAGGUGGCCAACUAAGUCAGACGUGAAAUCCCUCAGCUUAACUGGGGAACUGCGUCUGAUACUGGAUGGCUUGAGUUUGGGAGAGGGAUGCGGAAUUCCAGGUGUAGCGGUGAAAUGCGUAGAUAUCUGGAGGAACACCGGUGGCGAAGGCGGCAUCCUGGACCAACACUGACACUGAGGAGCGAAAGCCAGGGGAGCAAACGGG
rnacentral:rRNA from 1 species